AUUUCUUCUCAGUAUUCUCUCACCAGAUAAAAAAAUCUUUUCUAAACAGCUUCAUAUCUGUUUCAUCCUGCGUCACAGGACUGGAAUAUUAAACUCAUUUUUGGCUCAUGACGAAGUGCUAAGGCCUACCUCUGUCACAGAAUGCUUCGUCACUUUCGAACUCUGUUAAAAUAACCAAAAGCUUCGUCAAGUGCGA